GCAACCAGUUAUUCCGCCCCCGGCUCCGCACCCGCGUCUCGGACGUUCCCGCAGCCAACGUUUAGGGCACCAGGCGCUGUGCUAGGCGCCGCGGUUAUAAAGAUAAUCGGUUUUGUUGAGCCCAGGAAUGUUCGGGUUAAUCUGUUUUCUCUAAUCAAACACUUAAUCAUCCAGUCUCCUCUCUGCGUUAUGGAUUCAUGAAUGUGAAGUGAGGAGAGUUGCUCAGUCAAGGUUUUUCACGUACUGCACAUCCAAGCUAGGUAAUGUCUCUGCAACUGCUGCUUCCUGAUGAUUAUAUUCAUCUGAAAUGACUAAGCUUGGUAAAUUAGGCUAAGUCAAGUCUGUGGAGCAGUCAAGGGACGAAUGAAGAAAAGAAUAAUGUAAUGGAGGCUACACCAGAGACAUGGGAAUCUAUCAGCAUGUGGCAAGGAAGGAAGAACAUAGCUAUGUCUUCUAUAUAAAGAGUUGCCUGCAUUCUUCUCAGAAAAAAAAAGACAAUGGAAAGGCAAUGAGUCAUGAGUCUUGGGUUCUAAGCCUGGUUCUACCAUUUGCUAGCUGUAUGAUAAGAAGCAUGUUUGUUAAACCUCUGAGCCUCAGCUUAUAUAUAUACGAAACAGGAAAAAUAGUAACAUAGCCUGCCAUCUUCACAGAUUUGUGAAAAGGUCUUUUAAAUAUCCAAAAAGCUUAGUAUGUAUAAGAAAGAUUAAAUUGGCUGGGCGCGGUGGCUCACGCCUGUAAUCCCAGCACUUUGGGAGGCCGAGGCGGGCGGAUCACAAGGUCAGGAGAUCGAGACCAUCUUGGCUAACACGGUGAAACCCCGUCUCUACUAAAAAUACAAAAAAUUAGCCGGGCGCGGUGGCGGGCGCCUGUAGUCCCAGCUACUCGGGAGGCUGAGGCAGGAGAAUGGCGUGAACCUGGGAGGCGGAGCUUGCAGUGAGCCGAGAUUGCGCCACUGCAAUCCGGCCUGGGCUAAACAGCGGGACUCCGUCUCAAAAAAAAAAAAAAAAAAAAAAAAAAGAAAGAUUAAAUUUAAGCUAUGGGUAUGACACAAAAAUAUACUUGAAAAUUAUUCUUAAAUUUCACCAUAUUUAGGAAGUGGCUAAAUAUCAACAUAAUAUUCCUACUUCUGCAUUUCCUAUUUCUCUCUUUGCAUUUUAAAUUCAGAGGAAGUUAUCUCAUUUAUUAAUUGUAACAUUUAAAUAGUAUACAUUUCUGUCAUUUAAAAGUGGUACUGACAAUGUAGUUAAACCUUUAUUAUCUUUUAUUGGUUUAAUAAAUAAAAGUGCAUGACUAAAAA
rnacentral:lncRNA from 1 species